rnacentral:lncRNA from 1 species
AAUAAAUCUUUUGCUGGGGAAAUGAAUGUGCUGAGCUUCAUGCAGACCGACAGGCGCCCUCUGGAAACCCUCUUGUUAUUUUUCUUGCCUCUCGCUCAGUUUCCCCCUGAGGUGGGGCUCCAUCUUCUGGCUUCCUCUCUCCUCUCGUCGAGACAAGCUCACUUCAAAAGCGAAGACGGAACAAACUGUAAAAACUCUUGGCUGUGACCUUGAGGAUGACUCGCAGGAGGCAAGCAACACUCCAGUUCCUUCAGAUCAUCUCUUCCCCAGGACUCUGCACGUGAUCAAGCGGACUUGGUUCUACUGAUUAAUAAAAACAAAGAUGCUGGCUUACCCAAGACUGACCUCAAAGGAGACCUCAUGGAGUGAAGUGGUCAAGGUGCCUGUGGUCCACAGCAUGCAGUAGGUCUCUGAGGAAAUCUGGAGGGACUCUGGAAGCUGAAGAUUCAGAAUGUCCCAACUUAUACCUGCUACAGCCUUUGCUGCUCGACUGAUGGGUGCCAGGAGGAUGUGGACUGUUGUCUGCCUCCCCGGCUCCUCUCGUGAACCUGUUGAUCUCUGGCAGCAUUUAACAGCCUUGGUCCACACGCAUGUUGGGGUGUUAGCAUGAGACACACUCGGAUCCGGAAGCUCUGAAGGAGAUUGCCGCCACAUUUCAGGAACCCUAAGAGGAUCAGGGAGGCACUGUACACCAAGGACUCGGCGCAGUGCCCAGUAGGCAGCAAUACCUCUCCUCCCCUCCUCUGUCUCAGUCAAUCAAGGAGGUUCAUAGAC